UUUUCUGGACAGUCACUAGAAUAGUGACCAUACCUUUGACAAUUGUAACACUGAAUGUGACUCUUGUCUGGAUUUUGACCACCACCUUUUCCUCUACCUGCAACACCACCUCUUUGGUUGCCUUGGUUCCAGGGUUUUCUAUGAUUCGACCAGUUUCCUUCUUGUUGAUUUCGACCAGUCGAAUUGUUGUAACCUUCUCUGCCUUUACUUCCA
rnacentral:lncRNA from 1 species